UUUUGACCUAAAUGUCCAUGAAAAUAAAGUAGUGUUAAAGUUUAGAAAUUACAUGAAAAAUUAAAGUUGGAAUGAAAUAUAAUAAACGAGAAUUAUGGGGUAUAAUGUGAAUAAUUAAAAGUUUAACAUUACCUUAUUAUUUAAUUGAGUUAGUGGACCAUUAUGCACCAUAUAAAAGCCAAAAGUGGACAGAAUUUUCCACUAUCUUCAUUCAUCUUCUUCACCUCUCAAGUUGCAGAAUUUAAAUUCCUCUCAAAUCUCCAUUGAAACACCUUCAUGCAAGCUUUAAUCUCACUCAAUCUCACCAUGAUUUCCACUAAUCCUUUCACAAGAAAUUGUCCACACAUCAUGGGAAAGCUAUAGCCAGCAAGAAAAGGAGCUUUGGUGAAGGUUGAGAAGUGGUCAACUAAAGUUAGCAAAGACUCAGGGAAGGGGAAGGAAACACUGAGUCAGAGCCAAGAAACAGUUAUCAGAGGU